rnacentral:rRNA from 1 species
UACGAAGGGGGCUAGCGUUGCUCGGAAUCACUGGGCGUAAAGGUGCGUAGGCGGGUCUUUAAGUCAGGGGUGAAAUCCUGGAGCUCAACUCCAGAACUGCCUUUGAUACUGAAGAUCUUGAGUUCGGGAGAGGUGAGUGGAACUGCGAGUGUAGAGGUGAAAUUCGUAGAUAUUCGCAGGAACACCAGUGGCGAAGGCGGCUUACUGGUCCAUUACUGACGCUGAGGUGCGAAAGCGUGGGGAGCAAACAGG